GAAGGCAAAGUUAAGGAUGAUCCUUAACUAAGGAUUAAAACACCGUAGUCCUUAGUGACAUGGCAAGUUUAGUUUCUGGUCGUCUUCUUCUCCUCCUCCUCGGCGAUUCUAUUCGGUGAUGAUAGCGUUGGCUGGAAUCACGACUUCAAAUCCAACGUUUCUUCAGCUAAGGGUCUCUACCACAAGCUUACGUCAUGUGAUU
rnacentral:lncRNA from 1 species